rnacentral:rRNA from 1 species
UAGGGAAUCUUCGGCAAUGGACGAAAGUCUGACCGAGCAACGCCGCGUGAGUGAAGAAGGUUUUCGGAUCGUAAAACUCUGUUGUUAGAGAAGAACAAGGACGUUAGUAACUGAACGUCCCCUGACGGUAUCUAACCAGAAAGCCACGGCUAACUACGUGCCAGCAGCCGCGGUAAUACGUAGGUGGCAAGCGUUGUCCGGAUUUAUUGGGCGUAAAGCGAGCGCAGGCGGUUUCUUAAGUCUGAUGUGAAAGCCCCCGGCUCAACCGGGGAGGGUCAAUGGAAACUGGGAGACUUGAGUGGAGAAGAGGGGAGUGGAAAUCCAUGUGUAGCGGGGAAAUGCGUAGAUAUAUGGAGGAACACCAGUGGCGAAGGCGGCUCUCUGGUCUGUAACUGACGCUGAGGCUUGAAAGCGUGGGGAGCAAACAGG